rnacentral:rRNA from 1 species
UGGGGAAUAUUGGACAAUGGGCGCAAGCCUGAUCCAGCCAUGCCGCGUGGGUGAAGAAGGCCCUAGGGUUGUAAACCCCUUUCAGCGGGGAAGCGGUACCCGCAGAAGAAGCUCCGGCUAACUCCGUGCCAGCAGCCGCGGUAAUACGGAGGGAGCCAGCGUUGUUCGGAAUUACUGGGCGUAAAGCGCACGUAGGCGGACUUUCAAGUCAGGGGUGAAAUCCCGAGGCUCAACCUCGGAACUGCCUUUGAUACUGUAAGUCUUGAGUCCGAGAGAGGUGAGUGGAAUUCCUAGUGUAGAGGUGAAAUUCGUAGAUAUUAGGAAGAACACCAGUGGCGAAGGCGGCUCACUGGCUCGGUACUGACGCUGAGGCGCGAAAGCGUGGGAGCAAACAGGAUUAGAUACCCGUGUAGU